UUGCCCCAGUAACGGCGAGUGAAGCGGCAACAGCUCAAAUUUGAAAUCCGGCCCCCAGGGCCCGAGUUGUAAUUUGCAGAGGAUGCUUUCGGCGCGGCGCCUUCCGAGUGCCCUGGAACGGGACGCCACAGAGGGUGAGAGCCCCGUCCGGUCGGACGCCAAGCCGGUGUAAAGCUCCUUCGACGAGUCGAGUAGUUUGGGAAUGCUGCUCUAAAUGGGAGGUAUAUGUCUUCUAAAGCUAAAUACCGGCCAGAGACCGAUAGCGCACAAGUAGAGUGAUCGAAAGAUGAAAAGCACUUUGAAAAGAGGGUUAAACAGUACGUGAAAUUGUUGAAAGGGAAGCGCUCGCCACCAGACUUGCGCCCGGCGGAUCAUCCAGCGUUCUCGCUGGUGCACUCCGCCGGGCGCAGGCCAGCAUCGGUUCGCCGCGGGGGACAAAGGCGGCGGGAACGUGGCUCCCCCGGGAGUGUUAUAGCCCGCCGCGCAAUGCCCUGGGGCGGACCGAGGUCCGCGCUCACGCAAGGAUGCUGGCGUAAUGGUGAUCARCGACCCGUCUUGAAACACGGACCAAGGAGUCGUCCUCGUAUGCGAGUGUUCGGGUGGCAAACCCCUACGCGCAAUGAAAGUGAACGCAGGUGAGAGCUUCGGCGCAUCAUCGACCGAUCCUGAUGUUCUCGGAUGGAUUUGAGUAAGAGCAUACGGGGCCGGACCCGAAAGAAGGUGAACUAUGCCUGUGUAGGGUGAAGCCAGAGGAAACUCUGGUGGAGGCUCGCAGCGGUUCUGACGUGCAAAUCGAUCGUCAAACAUGGGCAUGGGGGCGAAAGACUAAUCG
rnacentral:rRNA from 1 species